AUGGAGAUGAGGGGUUGGAAAGGUUUGGGGGAUGUGGGAGCGGCCGUGACCCUGCUGGAGUCCGGGGGGGACCUCCAGCCCCCCGGGGGGUCCCUGCGCCUCCUCUGCCGAGGCUCCGGGUUCGAUUUUGGGAGUUUUGACAUGUUAUGGAUCCGCCAGAGACCCGGGCAGGGGCUGGAAUACAUCGCUGAUAUCAGCAAUGGUGGCACCACCAGAUACGCGCCGUCGGUCAAGGGCCAGUUCACGAUCUCCAGGGACAACGGGCAGAGCUCGGUGACGCUGACCAUGAACAACCUCAAGGACGAGGAUUCCGGAUCCUAUUUCUGCGCCAAAAACGCUUACGAUGGUGGUGGUUGGGAAGCUCAUGCUGGUUCUUUUUCUGGCCAUGUCCCCAUCAAUGUGUCCCCACCUGUCCCCAAAUCCCCGAUUAUUCCCUCUAACCCUUGA